GACGAACGCUGGCGGCGUGCCUAAUACAUGCAAGUCGAACGCUGAAGAGAGGAGCUUGCUCUUCUUGGAUGAGUUGCGAACGGGUGAGUAACGCGUAGGUAACCUGCCUUGUAGCGGGGGAUAACUAUUGGAAACGAUAGCUAAUACCGCAUAACAAUGGAUGACCCAUGUCAUUUAUUUGAAAGGGGCAAAUGCUCCACUACAAGAUGGACCUGCGUUGUAUUAGCUAGUAGGUGAGGUAACGGCUCACCUAGGCGACGAUACAUAGCCGACCUGAGAGGGUGAUCGGCCACACUGGGACUGAGACACGGCCCAGACUCCUACGGGAGGCAGCAGUAGGGAAUCUUCGGCAAUGGGGGCAACCCUGACCGAGCAACGCCGCGUGAGUGAAGAAGGGUGUCGGAUCGUAAAGCUCUGUUGUAAGUCAAGAACGAGUGUGAGAGUGGAAAGUUCACACUGUGACGGUAGCUUAACAGAAAGGGACGGCUAACUACGUG
rnacentral:rRNA from 1 species